UAAUAACUGAGACUUGGAUAUCAAUCAGAUCACACUUUAUUAGCGACUGAUGCUUAAAGGGGUACUCCCUUGGAAAGCAUUUUUUUUAAAUCAUCUAAGAGGAAGCGACUCGUGGAAACCAUGGCAGCUCUGCUUGGACGUAAAUAACCAAACUCGACAAAACGAAACUCAAGUUUUCACUGACCGCUCUAAGAGGAAGCGACUCGUGGUGAGUGACUAAUUCUGGCCUCUACGUUACUACACCGAUGUCUUUUGGAACGGGAACUGAACAAAUAUAUUAGGAUGUAAGGGGAGUACUCCUUUAAUCGGCUGAAUCGGCACUUCAGUCACUACUCACGGACCCUUUCACGUUGCUUACUCUUGGUGCUCAUCCAGAAAAUAGAUCAACAUCCAAACAAAAGAGAUACAACUCAGCUACAAAGAACCACCCUCCACGCAAGCUGACUGUGAAGUGGACCCUACUUGGCCAUCCAGUUGACCUGCUCGGAAAGGUGAGAUGUGAACAACUGCAAUGGAACCAGAUAACAUGUGUUAACCAGUGUUUCUUGGAUUGCAGGAUUCUGGUACUUUACUGACUUUUGUGUUCACUCAUCUCUUCUUCCUCCCGCAAAUACAACUCAGAAAAAUAUACCAGAAGGAGCCAACAAAGAUCAAAAGUGUUGGUGUAAUUUUUAUAUUGCAAAGCAAAGAACAGAGAAGACUUGGCACUGCUGCGGCUGUACUGAUGGACUGGCUCGGUGUGGGACCGGGGGUAGACAGCUGGGUGAACUCGGGAGGUGCUCAGACAAUGAAACACAGUUCAAUAUAUCUUGAUAGAAGAAUGAAUAAAAAAGUCGGCAACUCACCACGCUGGUUCUAUGUGAGAUC